rnacentral:misc_RNA from 1 species
GAUGAAGAACGCAGUAAAAUGCGAUAAUUAAUGUGAAUUGCAGAAUUCCGUGAAUCAUCGAGUCUUUGAACGCACAUUGCGCCUCAUGGCAUUCCGUGAGGCAUGCCCAUCUCAGCGUUAGAAAAUAUUCUCAAAUUUUAGUUUUGUGCUAAAAUUUGGAUCAUGUCAAGGAAGCUAUUACUAUUAUUGUGAUCGCUCUUUGGAAAUUGAUAGGUCUUUGAGUUGCUACUCAUAGAACGUGAUGAAUCUUUCUUCGUUCUAUUGUAAUUCACUCUGGUAGUCCUAAAACUUGUAUGCCUGUGGCAUAUCUUGUAAUUUGACCUGAGAUUGGGUAGGGAUACCCGCUGAACUUAAGCAUAUCAAUAAGCGGAGA